UGAAGCUGCCAUAUCACCCUGCAACUCACAACUGGCAGCCCAUUGAAGCUAAGCAGAGUUGAGCCUGGUCAGAACCUGGAUGGGAGACCUCCUGGGUAAAACUAAGGUUUCUGCUGGAA
rnacentral:rRNA from 1 species